UACGGAGGGUGCGAGCGUUGUCCGGAAUCACUGGGCGUAAAGGGCGCGUAGGUGGCCCGUUAAGUGGCUGGUGAAAUCCCGGGGCUCAACUCCGGGGCUGCCGGUCAGACUGGCGAGCUAGAGCACGGUAGGGGCAGAUGGAAUUCCCGGUGUAGCGGUGGAAUGCGUAGAGAUCGGGAAGAAUACCAGUGGCGAAGGCGGCUCACUGGCCCGGUACUGACGCUGAGGUGCGAAAGCCAGGGGAGCAAACGGG
rnacentral:rRNA from 1 species